rnacentral:pre_miRNA from 1 species
AAUAAAUCAAUUUUUCAUUUUUUAUCUUUAAUUUUUGACUUUUCGUCUUAUUCAAUUUUUUUACGAUUGAUUUUUUUAUUAGAUGAUAAAUUAUGAGUAGUAUUUUACGUGUGACUAAUUUUUUUUCUAAUUUUCUAAAAAAUUUUUAAAUAAGAUGGAUGGUCAAAUGUUGUACACGGAAACCGGAGAAUUUAUU